CUCUUUUCCCUUCACCCGUCGAUCCUAAGGCGCACGAAGGAGAGAAAACUUCUCAAGUCCCCUCCUUCGCAUGAGAAAGACCUUUCGGUUUCCUCCAAGCCGUGUAAAUCCCUUUCACUUCUCUAGUCCAUUUCUCUUGUUUUCGUAAACCUAAGCUUCUCACCGAAACCCUUCAAGAAGAUCAACCUUAGAUCCACGCAGGAGUGUAAUCGCAAGAUUUAAAGACUACUUGUAAAGCUUCGAGGUAUGAACGAUGAUGCUGCGGAGCCGGGUGCUGCUAAAGAGGGAGGGGCUGAAGUUUACAGUUCCCGGUUGGUUUGAUUUGGAGGACAGUGAUUAUGUUUUCUUUAUGUUUUUAUUUUGGAUCCCAUGUUGGGACGUUCUGUUGGUUUGACUUUAAAACAAUAUGCCUUUGGGCAACAGUGCAAGUAUUAUGGUGGGGUGAUGGUAAUGGCGUAUUUUCUAUGGUGGGGUGAUGGUAACCCCACAUAGAAAAGUUAAAUGCCUUUUUAUAUGUGU